rnacentral:rRNA from 1 species
AUACGGAGGGUGCAAGCGUUGUUCGGAAUUACUGGGCGUAAAGCGCGCGUAGGUGGUCUGUUAUGUCAGAUGAGAAAGUCCACGGCUCAUCCGUGGAAGUGCAUUUGAAACUGGCAGACUUGAGUACUGGAGGGGGUAGUGGAAUUCCCGGUGUAGAGGUGAAAUUCGUAGAUAUCGGGAGGAAUACCGGUGGCGAAGGCGACUACCUGGCCAGAUACUGACACUGAGGUGCGAAAGCGUGGGGAGCAAACAGGAUUAGAAACCCCAGUAGUCC